rnacentral:lncRNA from 1 species
CCACAACUUCUUAAAAUUCUAUCAAUGCAUGCUUUUCAUAAAUUUUGCACUUCACGUAAAAUAGACGUACAUGUAUAUAUAUUUAGAAUUUUUAAAAUUGACACCCCCUACUCACCUUAUAAUAGUGAGAUAUUACUUCACUAUUAAUUCGUACGCGUAUAUAAUGAUUCCUAUUUGUCGGUCACAUAUUUCGUUUGGCACGCCUCCACGACAAACUUUCCUAGCAACAAUUUAAACUUAGUAUACUUAAUCACACAUUUGUAUGAGUAGCAACUCAAUUAAAAAUUCCUUAAGCAACUUGCAUAUUUUUCAUCUAAAAUAUGCACAAUAUUAAACUACCCAUAAACUUUAAAAUAUAACAUUAACUUACCAUUGGACCUUUUUCAUUUCUUUAUGACCUUUGGACCCUCUCCAUGGGCUUCUCCAUUUUUUUCCUAUUUGGGUCAAGUUCAUUUAUUUUUAUUUCAUAUUGGGCCAUGCCCACUUAUUUUCUAUUGGGUCAUGCCCAUUUAUUUUCUAUUUCUUUUCUUUUCUUUCUUUUUCU